rnacentral:misc_RNA from 1 species
CGAAUCUGUAGCAAUCAUGCAAAGCGUCUCGGCAGCAGCCAAUGCCCCUGGUGAAACUGUGUUGCUGGCUGCUAGUGAUGAUGAAAUUCUUUCACAUGUAGUAAGGCUAUCACGGUUUGUUGAAGCAUUUUCAUUUUUUAAAGGCCCAGACACUUGAACUCCUGUUGGAACUAGUUUGUGAAUGUCAGUGAGUGCUUGCAGUUCCUCAAGGAAACCAGUAGAACCUUUCAGAGGAGUCGAAGUGUUUUCCACUCUUACCCAUCUACCUUGACAAACCAUCUUAUUUGUAGAUAAUUUAGCUGAAUCAGGAACAGUUUUAGGAUGCCCAG